CCAGACGCCCAGUCACAGGCGAGAGCCCUGGGAUGCACCGGCCAGAGGCCAUGCUGCUGCUGCUCACGCUUGCCCUCCUGGGGGGCCCCACCUGGGCAGGGAAGAUGUAUGGCCCUGGAGGAGGCAAGUAUUUCAGCACCACUGAAGACUACGACCAUGAAAUCACAGGGCUGCGGGUGUCUGUAGGUCUUCUCCUGGUGAAAAGGUGAGUAGGGCUAUGGUCAUGGGCCCAGCGCCAUGUCCCCUCCCAUCCCACAGUUUCAGGAACUCAGGGCAGGGGGUAAGCACCCGUGGCCACUUUUGCCACACAUGCCUGGCUACUGUCGAUGCUUCCUGGCUCCCGCUGAUGCUUCCUGGCUGGAGCGGAGACGGUCAGACCGUCCUCCCUACCUUCUCCCUUCAACCCAAGCUCAACUCAACCAAAAAUGGCCCCUCUGUCCCCAUGCCUGAUAGGAAAGUCAGGGGAAAGUCUGUCCGAUUACUGUCAAAGAAGACAGGAGGUAAGGGUCAGAGUGGACCACUGACUGAAUAUGAGUCGCAGAAGUGUUAGAGGCAGAAGUCCAGGGCCAUUUCCUUAAUAUC
rnacentral:lncRNA from 1 species